rnacentral:rRNA from 1 species
AGUAAAGAUUUAUCGCUUUGGGAGCGGCCUGCGCAGUAUCAGCUAGUUGGUAGGGUAACGGCCUACCAAGGCUAUGACGCUUAGGGGAGCUGAGAGGCUGACCCCCACCGAUGGAACUGAGAUACGGUCCUUACUCCUACGGGAGGCCGCAGUCGAGAAUCUUCCGCAAUGGACGAAAGUCUGACGGAGCGACGCCGCGUGAUGGAUGAAGUGCUUCGGCACGUAAACAUCUUUUAUGAGGGAUGAAGUUUUGACAGUACCUCAUGAAUAAGGGGCUCCUAACUCUGUGCCAGCAGGAGCGGUAAUACAGAGGCCCCAAGCAUUAUCCGGAAUCACUGGGCGUAAAGGGUGUCAAGGCGGCUAUAUUAGUCGUUCGUUAAAUCCGUGGGCUCAACCUACGGUCUGCGAGCGAAACGGUAUAGCUAGAGGUUGGAAGAGGUGCAUGGAACUCACGGUGUAGGGGUGAAAUCCGUUGAUAUCGUGGGGAACACCAAAGGCGAAGGCAGCACGCUGGCACAUUUCUGACGCUGAAACACGAAAGCGUAGGUAGCGAAUGGGAUUAGAUACCCCAGUAGUCUACGCCCUAAACGAUGUUCUCUGGCUUUUCGGAGUAUCGACCCUCUGAGAGGCGAAGCUAACGCGUUAAGAGAACCGCCUGGGAAGUACGGCCGCAAGGCUAAAACUCAAAGGAAUAGACGGGGACUUGCACAAGCAGAGGAUUAUGUGGUUUAAUUCGAUGGUAAACGAAGAACCUUACCAGGGUUAGAAAUCUAGUCGAAGGCAAGCAGAAACGUUUGUCGUCUCACAAGGACGGCUAGACAGGUGCUGCAUGGCCGUCGUCAGUUCGUGGUUUGAAUUGUUCCCUUAAGUGGGGUAACGAACGCAACCCUCGUUGCCUGUUACAAGUGUCAGGCGAGACAGCCCCCGAUUUUGCGCACGAAGUAUGUAAAUGCUUCGCGAAUAAAAUCGGGGGAGGAAGGCGAGGAUGACGCCAGGUCAGCAUGUCCCUUUGACAUCCUGGGCUACACACAUAAUACAAUCGGUCGGACAACGGGUCGCGACGGGGUAACCCUGAGCCAAUCCUUCAAACCGAUCGCCAGUUCAGAUUGUGGUCUGCAACUCGACCACAUGAAGCCGGAAUUGCUAGUAAUCGCGGGUCAGCGAAACCGCGGUGAAUACGUUCUCAGGUCUUGUACUCACUGCCCGUCAACUCAAGGGAGCCGGGGGCACCCAAAGGCUUAGCUAGUCUAGGACUAAGGUGAAUUCGGUGACAGGGAGUAAGUCGUAACAAGGCACGGCUAGCGGAAGCUGGUCGUG